ACCUAGCUGGCUCAGUUGGUAGAGCAUGCAGCUCUUGAUACCGGGGUUGUGAGUUCAAGUCCCACAUUGGGUA
rnacentral:tRNA from 1 species